AUUAUUUUCUUCUUUCUGCUUGCACUGGAUUUUAUUUCCUUUUCUAGUCUUAAGAUGAAGUUUACGUCAUUGAUUUAAGACUUUUCUAAUUAUAGUCAUUCAAUGCUAUAAAUUUCAUUUUAAACACUGCUUUAGCUGCAUCCCAUAAAUUUUGAUAUGCGUUUCUAUUCUGCGUUAGAAGCUUGUUGUCUAAUUUCCAAAUCUUUGGGGAUUUCCCUCAUAUUUUUGUGUGUGUUUUGGUUCUCCUUUAGUACUUUUUCAGCCAGAAAAUAUACUAUGAUUUCAAAUUUUUUUAAAAAAUUGAAAAUUAUUUUUUGAUCCAGAAUUUAAGCCUAUCUUGAUGAAUGUUCCGUGUGCACUUUUGUGUUUGUUGAGUGGAGUGUUCUAUACAUUUCAAUGAAAUCAAGUUAGUUGAUAGUGUUGUUCAGGUCUUCUAUAUCCUUACAUAUUUCCUAUCUACUUAUUUUAUCAAUUAUUGAAAGAGGGAUAUUGAAAUAUCCAACUAUGAUUGUGGAUCUCUCCCUUUCUCUUUUCAAUUCUAUCGGAUAAGGGCUGGAUUUUUUUCUUUUUUUAAAUGUUGCUGCUUACCCUUGGCUUUCAGGCUUCUCUGUGCACUUGCACCUCAGAGGGUGUCUCUUCCCGUGUUCUUGCUUGCUACUCCAAGAGUAGACUGCUGUUGCUUGUUACUUAGAGCUUGGUAGUCUGGUGCUGGAGCCAGAGGAGGUUCUUUGUUGUCUUGUUUCAUAUUUAGGCCUGUGUGUCUGAGUCUCGUGGGCUAGUGCCUUUUCAGUUAUCUUGCCCUUUCCAGCCAACUCAGCCUUGUAUCUUUGGCAGAUCUUGUGCAGGAGAAUUUCCUGCUACUCUCCCAGUGGUAGGAACCACUAAUGGUGUUAUACAGGAUCCAGAGCCCAGGACUGUUUCCUGCUUCUCUGCCAGUGGUAGAAUUGUUUUCUUCUACACUUCCCUCUAUCAUAAUGGGUCUUUACCAGUGCUGUGGAAGUAACAGGGUUGUUGCUCCUCCCUCAGUGGCUCAAGACUUUUCUUCUUUAGGGAAUAAAGGGUUGGGAGCAGUUUGUGCCUUUCCUGUAGUGGCAGCCUCUCUGCUCCAGGGCUAUACUACUGAGAGAGGCUCUUUGCAUUCACCCACACAUUCUUUCUAGAGAGCAUCUAGUACAGUUCCCCUUGUAUCCGAGGCUCUGGGACUUCUGUACUCUCAUGCUAGCCAAUUCUCGUUUUUUAACAAUGCAUUAAAAUUGUAGUUAAAUUCUUCUUACCCAGUCGUGUGGUGCUCAGUGUCUCUCCUUCCUGUGCUCUACCACAUGUAAGUCAGUGUUUGUGACUGUCUCUGCCUUGGGAGGUGCCUGUCUUUCCUUGGGUUUCACAUUAUUUGUUUUCCCUGCCAUGCCAGCUCUGAUAGCAGCGAAAAAGUAUGAUUUUCUUGUUUAUCUGGCUUUUUCUUGUUGAGGUGGUAAUGAUGCUCUUUCCAGGUUUCUACAUUCAAGAUGAAACACCUUUUAUUUGUUUCAGCUAUUUUUUUGUUUAUGAAAUUAAUACAUGAGCGGCAUAAAAAUUUAAAUGGGUAUAAAAUGUGAGGUAAAUUUUCCCACAAACCCCACUCCCUAGAGGCAACAACUAUUCACAAGCUUUAUGUUUUUAGUUCUGUUAAUUUCCAUUUCCAAUGGUACCUAGAACAGGAUCAUUAUGAGAAGCCAUCACUAACUUUUCAGGAAUUUUGCAAGCCCAUUGGUGUCACACUGGUACCUGAAACUGGCUAUGAUGGGAAUAUUUAUGCCACACAAAUCGACAAAUGCUACAAACCAGAGCUCCCCUCCUAGCAGCCAUCUGGAAAGCAUUUACCAACACACCACUGAUUACCUAACACCUUUGCAAUGAAUCUUCCAAUGAAGCUGUUUUGGAAUCCUGAAACCUUUUGUAAGCUUCUGCAUACCAAUUAAAGCAUGGAGAGGGCCCACAUGACAGAUUACCUCAUUGGUACUGACCAGGAAAUUCCGGACUGGUUAAGAUUAUAUUUCUGCAGAAGGUUGAAACUGCGAUUAAG